rnacentral:rRNA from 1 species
AGUGAACGCUGGCGGUAGGCCUAACACAUGCAAGUCGAACGGCAGCACAGUAAGAGCUUGCUCUUACGGGUGGCGAGUGGCGGACGGGUGAGGAAUACAUCGGAAUCUACUUUUUCGUGGGGGAUAACGUAGGGAAACUUACGCUAAUACCGCAUACGACCUACGGGUGAAAGCAGGGGAUCUUCGGACCUUGCGCGAUUGAAUGAGCCGAUGUCGGAUUAGCUAGUUGGCGGGGUAAAGGCCCACCAAGGCGACGAUCCGUAGCUGGUCUGAGAGGAUGAUCAGCCACACUGGAACUGAGACACGGUCCAGACUCCUACGGGAAGCAGCAGUGGGGAAUAUUGGACAAUGGGCGCAAGCCUGAUCCAGCCAUACCGCGUGGGUGAAGAAGGCCUUCGGGUUGUAAAGCCCUUUUGUUGGGAAAGAAAAGCAGCAGGUUAAUACCCCGCUGUUCUGACGGUACCCAAAGAAUAAGCACCGGCUAACUUCGU